AUACUUACCUGGCAAAGGAGACACCAUGAUUACAAAAAAGGUUUUCCCAAGGCAAGGCUCAUCCAUUGCAUUCUGUAUGUGCUGAGCCCUGUGAUUUUCCCGUAUGUGGGAAACUCGACUGCAUAAUUUGUGGUAGUGGGGAGACAAGGAAAAUCAUA
ensembl:snRNA U1 U1 spliceosomal RNA